rnacentral:rRNA from 1 species
UACGUAGGGUGCAAGCGUUGUCCGGAAUUAUUGGGCGUAAAGAGCUCGUAGGCGGUCUGUCGCGUCGGCUGUGAAAACUCGGGGCUCAACCCCGAGCCUGCAGUCGAUACGGGCAGACUAGAGUGCGGUAGGGGAGACUGGAAUUCCUGGUGUAGCGGUGAAAUGCGCAGAUAUCAGGAGGAACACCGGUGGCGAAGGCGGGUCUCUGGGCCGUAACUGACGCUGAGGAGCGAAAGCGUAGGGAGCAAACAGG